CAUGACUUCUGCCAGGAGAUGGGGGUGGCGCUGUCAGAAGUUCAAGACUGUCUUUUCUACCCUCUUCAGUGACUUAUUCAGUGAUAUAAAGUUAAAACCAGGUUUAGGUCCUCACAAAACCAAUCCUUCUGGAUGUGAAUUGAAAAUACGUAAGUCAUAUCUUGUUAAAAAAAAUCACUUGCAUAGGUGUAUUAUUAGAAAGUAUUUGAAAAAAAUGUGUUUGACCUAAGAACAAUUUUCAUAUUAAAAAAGUAAUCUUUAAUUUUAGCUUCUACAUGCUGAUAUUUCUUAGAAAUUUUAUGAAUUUGAAGUAACAGUAAUUAAUCGACUAGCAACUGGAUUGGGCUCAAACUUAGGUAAUUUCUCUUAAUUUUCUUAUGC
rnacentral:lncRNA from 13 species